CUCCUCCCCCUUCCCUUCCAUACUUCCAUAACCCACUUAAUAAAUAUCCAACCUCACUCUGCAUGGCGUACCUAUCCAUGUCUCUGUCUCUUUGCCCGCUACCGCAUGUCUCCCUGCCCUGAACCAGCCACAGCUCGGCGACCUGCAGCCAUGCCUGCUUGGGACUGGCUGCUCUCAGAGCCCACUGCCUGCUGCCACAUGACCCACUGCACACCCUUGGGGACCUGCAGCGUUUCUGCUGCCUGCCACUGCCAGGGAUUUUGCAGCAUUUUAAAUAAUCCAUUGCACUGGGCAGGAAAGUCUGUGCCAAGAUGUGGGUCAUGCCCUAGGAAAAGAAGUGAAGCUGCACAUGUUCAGAGAAAGAGCGUCCUAAAACGUGUAGGAAGCUUAAGGGUACUGAGGACAACCUGGUGAUCGUCCAGCACAAGGGAGCCUGUGGGGAUCCUGCACUCCCGGCUUCCAGGGUCUCACCAUAAAGCUCUGCCUGCCCUGGAAUUCACUAUGUAGACAAGGCUGGCAUCAAACUUACAGAGAGCUCCGCCUGCCUCUGCCUUCUGAAUGCUGGACCCAGAGGCCUACACCACCUUAUCUAACUUGAUUUCAGAAACAAACUAAAACCAAGACGUUUUUACAUCUAUUUAUUUGUGUGAGCGUGGGGCUCGUGCUGUGACUGCUGUGGAACCAAGGGGAGAGGACAGCCUGUAGGAGUUGGUUUCUUUCUUCUACCAUAUGGGUUCUGGGGAUCAAACUCAAGUCACAUGGCCAGACUUGGCCACAAACAUCCUUAACCACCAAGUUAGCUAUCUCCCAAUGAGUUCCUUUUUGUGCAAACUUUAGAAGCAUUUUCAACACAGUGUUUUAUUCCUUGAAAACUUCAUACAAUGUAUUUUGAUCCUAGUCGGCCUCAAUAUCUCCCAAAUUCCUAAAUCUACUCUCACCUCUCCACCUCCUCCCAACUUCACAUCCUUUUCUCUUAACCUACCAAGUAAACUCAUGAGUGUGAGACCAUCCCCCUGGAGUGUGGUUGACCUAUUAGGUACCACACCCUUAAAGAAAAAUUGUUCUUCCUCCCCCUAGAAGCCAUCUACUAUCUGAAGAUUCUCAGUAAGGGGUGGGAGUACCUAAGCCCCUCCCCUUUCCAUGCUAAAAUGCUGAGUGACUUGAUCUCAGUGUCACCAUAGCGACAAGUCAGCCUGGAAGAAAAUACAGUCCUAAGGAAGGCACCAGCAUGAGCCUAGAAGAAAGGCUAGUGGAGGAUGGUUCGAAAAGAAUACUGUAACAUUAUGUAGGCUGAGCAGGUUAUAUUUAAGAAUAUAUAUGUGUGCACAUAUACAUAUACAUACGUGCAUGUAACAAUACAUACGUAAAUGUAUGAAUUUGGAAAAGAGCAAGGAAGUGUAUAUGGGGGGAAGGAAAAGAGGAAGCGAUGUAUUUAUUAUGCUAUAAAAAUAAAAGAAAAAUCACAAAAGAA